rnacentral:lncRNA from 1 species
GCAGGUGUUAACCCUAAUGCCGUUCACUCAGGCCUGUCAUUAGCACUUACACCCUUGACAGGUGCUUUCCGUCGCACCAGGAGGAAGUCUUGAUGUUGACAUUCCAGAACUUCUCAGCCCUCCCUUGUCCAGAAGGUCAUGGGAUACCUUGGAAACUGGCAUCAAUCCUCAAGCAGAAGGGGAAGCUCCAAAGGAUCUGGGUAACUGUGUGACCUGGGCCAGUCCAAACCAGGUGCUCAGCCCAUAUCUCAAAUGGAGAAUCUGCUCUAUUUUUUGGCAGUGGGACCUCAGACAAAUCACUUAACUUCCUUGGACCUGGAUUUUGUCAUCUGUAAAAUGGGAACAGAAACAACAGCAGAGCCAUGCAGUUAUAGCUUCAUGCAGAUUCAAGUCUCUGAAGAAUUGAAAAGGUGUUGGAUGGCAGAGAGGCACAUAAUAGAUAUCAGUAGGAAGUAAAUAGUCUAAUAAAGGUUAUACCAGUACUUACA